AUUUUUUGGGCCAGGGGUUCUAGGGAUAAAAUGUAGAGUAAGGGGGAUAGAGGGCAGCCCUGUCGGGUCCCAUUUGAUAUCGGGAAUGUGGUGGAGAUGUAGCCUCCAUGUGAAACUCUGGCUGCUGGUGUUGCGUAUAAUGCCAUGAGACUUCUGAUAGUCUCAUGAGGGAGGCCGUAUUUCAGGAGCACCGCCUGCAUGAAGGACCAAUUUAGUCGGUCAAAGGCCUUCUCUGCAUCCAAUGCAAGGAGAAGGCCUCCCACCGAGUUGCGUUCCAUUGUGGCCAGUAUGCUAAGGAUUUUUCGGGUGUUGUCUGAGCCUUGGCGUCCCCUCACAAACCCAGUUUGGUCAUUGUGCACCAAACUGUUUAAUACAGGAGUAAGUCGGUUGCUUAGUAUUUUCGCGUACAGCUUGGCGUCACUGUUGAGGAGGGAUAUGGGCCGGAAGUUUUUACAUACAGUAGGGGGUUUACCAGGUUUGGGUAGGGUAGUAAUGUGGGCUAGUAGCAUUUCUGCUGGCAAUGUUCCCUGUCCUGCGCAAUGUUGAAAGAGGUUCGUUAGGUGUGGGGUCAGUAGUCCGGAGAACUUUUUGUAAUAUUUAUUAGGUAGGCCAUCGGGUCCCGGUGUUUUGUGUGGGGGGAGGUCAGCUAUAGCCUUAUUUAUUUCGUCAGGGGAUAUUGGGCGGCGGAGUGUGUCAAUGUCAGUCACUGAUAGGGAAGGCAGUUGGACAUCCGUUAGGUAUCUAUCGAUAUCUUCGUGUGUAGGGACCUUCACCCCCCCAUCUCCUUUUAGAUUGUACAGGUUGUGGUAAUAAUCUGAGAAUUCAUUUACAAUUUUUUUGUGGGUCUAUGAUUUUCUGACCCCUACUAUUGUUCAGGAAGGCAAUCCUGGAGGCGGCAGAUCGUUGUUUGAGUUGAGAAGCCAAUUUUGCUCCUGCUCUGUUGCCGAAUGCAAAGAAUUUGUGUUUGGAUUUUUGCAGUAGGUAUGUGGUUUUGGCUAGUUCAAAAUCCCGUAGUUUGGAGUGCGCUUGGUGCAGGGCAGUUUGUAUGCUAGGUGACGGUGUAUGUUUAUUCCUGUGUGUCAAUGACGUUAUGUCUGCAAUGAUUUGUAAGUAUUGUGCUUGGCGAGUUUUUUUAGCGUAGCUCGCGUGUUUUAUGAAGCUGCCUCUUAUUACAGCUUUAUGUGCUAACCAAAUUGAUUCCGGUGUUGUGUUGUUUUGUACAUUGUCUGCAAAGUAGUGUUGGAGGUCUGUGGUGAUGUGGGAGACUAUUACCGGGUCAUUGAGAAGGGUCUCGUUCAGUCUUCAGGUUGUACGGCCAGCGGAGGGGAAUUGUUCUGAUAAUGUCAGUGUGAUUGGGGCAUGGUCAGACCAUGUGAUAUUGCCAAUGUCCGUGUGGGAUACUCUCUCUAGGGACGAGUAUUUGAUUAGGAAUCUGUCAAUUCUUGAAUAGCUAUUGUGUGCUGCAGUGUAGCAGGUAUAGUCUAUGUCCGUCGGGUGCGAAAUUCUCCAUGGGUCGACAUAAUUAUGUGUCAUUAGUGUUUGGCAGAUGGUGGAUGACAGUGUGAGUCGUUUUUUGGAUGUAGUUGUAUUUACCGUUCUAGAAGCGGAUGAGUCCAUAUGUGCAUCUAAGAGAAAAUUGGUGUCGCCUCCAAUGAUUACCUCCCCAAAACUAUACAUUGAUAAGAGAGAGAAAACAUCAUCAAUAAACAUAACCUGGUUUUCAUUUGGGCUGUAAAUGUUCACUAACGUAUACGGUUGAUUGUUAAUGUGACAUUGUAUGAUAAGGUACCUGCCUUUUUUAUCUCCAAUUUUACGUAUUAAUUCAAAGGAAACAUUUUUGCUUAUUAGCGUCGACACUCCUCUUUUUUUGGUAUGAUAGCAUGUAUGAUAAUCUAUCGGAAACCAGGGGGAGUUGAAUCUGGGUUUAGCUCUCCAUUUGAAGUGGGUUUCCUGGAAGAAAGCCACUUGUGCGUUCUGCCUCUUAGCUUCUAGUAAAGCUAGCCUGCGCUUGUUGGGUGAGUUCAGCCCUUUGGUAUUGAGGGAGAGGAUUUUUAACGGCAUUAUGCCUACCUUGCGGUUUGGGGAGUAGAUGGGGUGUUGAGUCAAUCAGUGGGAGGGAUCUCUUACUCUGGUCGCCUAUUACCUUGGCUGCCAGGUAUAGAUUCGAAUGGGUCGGCAAAGAGGGGGGAGGAGUGGGGUCAAACAAACUAUAUACAGGUUCCCGUUGGCCCUUGGGGCUAUGUGCACAAAAUUGCACACGGGUAUAUGUUGGCCUAGCUUGUAAGCCGUGUGGGGGGUGGUGGUGAAUACUAAAGCGUAUAUGAGUAGAGUUGUAAUUCUAGUGGUACUUCUCUACCGCUCGGGGGCCUAUCGUUGUGUUCUCAUAACUGUGUCUAAUUGGAGUAGAACAAUGCAAUAGUAAACAUAUAUUACACAGAAAUACAAUAAAGCCAUUGUGGGUGAAGAUAUUACGUGUCCCGCUGUUGUCAGAGGAAAGUCUUAGGUACGGGGUAAUCGGCGGGUCUGCGGAUCUGUGGUGUUCCAUGGAACCUGUUGCCAGUCUCUCGCCAUUUUACGUGGCGGUGGGGUGCCUUCUCUUCGUUUGUCAGUUAUUGGGAUCGGUAUGUUCCAUUCUUCUAGGACCUUCAGACCAUCUUCUGGGGUGAGGAUUAUUCGGUUCGCUCCGUUUUUGUUCACUAAUAAUUUAGCUGGAAAUCCCCAUUUGUAUAAGAUAUUGGCUUUGCGCAAGGCCGUUGUAAUGGGUGCAAGCGUUCGCCUCUUGUACAUGGUGGCCGCCGACAGAUCAAUGAAAAGCUUAACAUCUGCAUAGUCACCUGGAAGGGUUUGUUCUAGCCUGGACGCCUGCAUUAUCCGGUCUUUGACCGUGAAGUAAUGUAUUUUUGUUAUCACGUCUCUAGGGGUGGUAGCAGGUAGGUGGCGAGGUUUAGGCAGUCUGUGUAUCCUGUCCAGAUGAAGAUCCGGUUCUUCUAGGGCUGGGAUCAAGGUUUUGAACAGCUUUUGAGCAUAUUGAGCGAGGUCUUGUGGCCCUAUGCUUUCAGGUAUGCCUCGGAGUCUGAUAUUGUUUCUCCGGUCUCGAUCUUCAUUAUCAGCUAUCUUCCCUUCCAGAAACCUGACUUUGUCUGCUAGAG
rnacentral:lncRNA from 1 species